AUGCUGCCAGCGCCCCUCGCCGCCGUGCUGCUCCUCCCCCUAGUCCUCGCGCUGCUCCCAGCCGGCGGGCGGUGCCAGCAGGGCGAUGACAACCCCGGCCCCGGCGUGCGCCACCGCGCUCUGCCGCCGUCGGCGUCGUCCGCCGCCUCGGAGGCGCUCAUGGCCAGGAUGUACACCGUUGGCCAAGAGCUCGCCGACGAGGUGCAGAGCAAGUACGGCUUCUGCAUGUCCAACGUGAACAACGAUUUCAACCAGACGUUCAACUUCACCUCGGACCCGAGCUUCAUCUCGGACUGCAAUGAGCAAACCCAAGGGACAUUGGUUGCGAUGAUGUGCAGCAAAGCUGAAAUAGAGUUAUAUCUCAGCAGCUUGGGAAGCAAGAGCAUUGUGAGGAUUAGUAGGAAUUGCAAUCAGUUCUCAUGGGCACCUGGGUGCCAAUCUGGCUGGGCUUGCUCAGCCCCGGACGCCAACUCAUUGACAAACAACUCAUUUGAAAACCCGGUUCCGUCCAGAUCAGAGAAUUGCAGGCCAUGUUGUCCAGGUUUCUUCUGCCCUCGUGGACUGACUUGCAUGAUGCCUUGUCCUUUGGGUGCUUAUUGUCCUCUUGGGACACUGAAUAAAACUACCAACCUUUGUGACCCGUAUUCUUACCAAAUAACUCCCGGAUCAAACCAGACAUGCGGCAGUGCAGAUUCUUGGGCUGAUGUGAUUACUACCAAUGAUGUCUUCUGCCCUCCAGGGCACCAUUGCCCAACCACUACCCAAAAAUUUAACUGCAGCAAGGGGUCCUAUUGCAGGAAAGGUUCCACUGGUGAAAAUAAGUGUGGAUGGAAAAGCAGGUGUAAGGGGAAUUCAGAAAAAGAAAAUAUCACUUUGUUUGGUGGCAUACUGAUUGUUGUCUUAAUUGUCAUUUUACUACUGGUGUACAAUUGCUCUGAUCAAUUCAUUGCAGUUCGAGCUAAAAUUUCAUCGAAGUCUCGUAAAAAGGCAGCAAAGAUUGCGCAAGAAUCGGCAACAGCACGGAAAAGAUGGAAAUUAGCAAAAGAACUUGUACUAAGGCAUGAGGUGGAAAUGUACGAGUCCUCUGAUGCACCUGAGGAAUUAGCUACAUCAUCUGAUGGGAUACUACAUGCUGAUAAAGGUAAUGGUAAGAGAUCAAAAAGUCGCAGAAAGCUAAAUGUUCGCACUGAAAGGUUCAGACGUGCAUAUAGUCAGAUUGACAAGGAAAGAGCUCUGCAGCUAGACAAAGAUAAAUUAACACUGUCUGGAAUAGUGUCUCGAGCUGCUGAAAACAGACCGCAGAGGCCAAUGCUUGAGGUGGCCUUCAAAGGUCUGACAUUAUCCAUUGGGAAAAAGAAACUUCUACAAUGCGUUACUGGGAAACUUUCACCAGGUAGGAUAACGGCUAUUAUGGGUCCUUCUGGAGCAGGAAAGACCACAUUUCUCAACGCUGUGUUAGGUAAAACAUCAGGCUAUAAGAAGGAUGGAUUGGUCCUUGUAAAUGGAAAAUCCGGAUCGAUGCAGUCAUAUAAGAAGAUAAUUGGUUUUGUUCCACAAGAUGACAUCGUACAUGGAAACCUGACGGUUGAGGAAAAUCUGUGGUUUAGUGGAUGCUGCAGGUUAAGCAAAAGCAUGUCAAAAGCUGAUAAGGUUCUCAUUCUUGAACGGGUUAUAGGGUCACUAGGGCUCCAAGAAAUCAGAAAUUCCCUUGUUGGGACAGUGGAAAAGCGGGGUAUUUCUGGCGGACAAAGGAAGCGUGUGAAUGUUGGGAUUGAAAUGGUUAUGGAACCAUCUCUUCUGAUAUUAGACGAGCCAACAACAGGCUUAGAUAGUGCUUCCUCUCAACAACUUCUAAGAGCUCUUCGUUAUGAAGCAUCCCAAGGCGUCAAUGUUUGUGCAGUGAUUCACCAACCAAGCUAUACUUUGUUCAAUAUGUUUGAUGACUUUGUUCUUCUGGCAAGAGGCGGCCUUAUUGCUUACCAUGGGCCUAUAAGUGAAGUUGAAAAUUAUUUCUCAGGCCUGGGGAUCAAGGUUCCUGACCGUGAGAAUCCUCCAGACUAUUAUAUUGACAUCUUAGAGGGAAUAGCCAAGACAAAAAUGAGGGGACAUGCCACUCCUAAACAUUUGCCACUUCUUUGGAUUCUGCAUAAUGGAUAUGAAGUUCCAGAAGAUAUGCAGAAGGACCUUGAGGAGAUCAAUAUGAUGCACGAGUUAUAUACUGUAGGGUCCAUUACUAGAGAACUAUCUUCUGUAGAACAGACAAAGAGUAAAGAUUCUGUGCACCAAAAUGUCAGCCAAAGAAAUGAUUUACUGAAUAGGAAAACACCCGGUGUACUUGCACAAUACAGAUACUAUUUAGGGAGGGUAGCUAAGCAACGUCUACGUGAAGCUACGCAACAGGCUGUUGAUUACCUGAUAUUGUGUAUUGCUGGCAUAUGCAUUGGAACCAUCACAAAAGUAAACGAUGAUACACUCGGUGCAGCUUCUUAUGGGUAUACCAUAAUUGCAGUCUCACUGUUGUGCCAGCUUGCAGCACUGCGAUCAUUUUCACCAGAAAGAUUGCAAUACUGGAGAGAGAGAGAAUCUGGCAUGAGCUCUGUAGCUUACUUCCUUGCAAGAGACACUAUUGAUCAUUUCAACACCGUGGUUAAACCAAUUGUCUUCCUCUCAACAUUUUAUUUCUUCAACAAUCCACGGUCUACACUUCGAGAUAAUUAUUUGGUCUUGCUUGCGUUAGUUUACUGUGUAACUGGCAUAGGUUAUACUCUUGCAAUUUGGUUUGAGCUGGGGUUAGCUCAGUUGUGUUCUGCAUUGCUACCUGUGGUACUGGUCCUGGUGGGCACUGACCCAAAAUUUCCACAAUUUAUUAAACAAUUCUGCUAUCCCAAGUGGACGCUAGAAGCUUUCAUUGUUGCUGGAGCAAAAAAUUAUUCUGGUGUAUGGCUGAUUACUCGAUGUGGAGCACUGCUAAAAGGUGGUUAUGAUAUCAAUUAUUUUGCUCUCUGCAUCGCCAUUAUGAUGCUUAAUGGUGUACUCUUCCGGUUUGUUGCUCUACUUAGUCUGUUGAAGCUAAGAUAG
rnacentral:rRNA from 1 species